GGCUGCUCGGUGUGACAGGCAGAUGGUCGGGCUGCUGCCCAUCCCUGGGCCAGGCAGGCAGAGGCUCCUCGUGGAGCGCAGCCAGCCUCUCUCUGGCUCCUUUUAAAUGCUCCAGCUUCCCACGUGGAGGGGGGGAGGUGGGAGCUGCAGCACCCUUGCCUGUGGCUGUGUCACUCAGUUUGGUUUCUCCAGGUGAAGCAGACCAAGGACAGUCCGGAAUGCACGAGCUUGACUUACAGCCUUGUUUUCCCAUUAGUCAUCAUCCCAAAAAACUUCUCCUCCUCCUGCUGCCUCUCCACUGGGGCUCUCCUCUUGCCCAUGUCUGAGCAGCAGCUAUUCCUCUUUUCCUUCUCUUGGCUUACACAAGUUGUUUGAACUGAGUUAACAUCUCUGGGAACAGAUGGGAUUUUGUAUCAGUGUAAUUAAAUUGCUACAGCCUCUGCAGAGCAGUUUUUCAUCCUGAACUGCUAUAAAAAAAGAAAAUCUUCAAAAUCAUUGGGAAUCCCUGUCAUGGAAAAACUGGCUAUGGAAACACACAGGAAGGAAGGAAAAGAAAAGUAGCCAGGGGUUGCAGGUACUCUGUUAUUUAUUGUACAGUAUUUCACUGAAAGUACAAAGGCAUCAUCAGUACUCACCAGAAUUGUAUUGUAACAGGUACAUUAUACUGCUUGUUAAGAUGUGCUGCUUUAACGAGGCAAGACAGAACACAAACUUAGAGGAAGAAAGAAAGGAGUUUAAAAAAAAUGUAAAAA